UACGUAGGGGGCAAGCGUUGUCCGGAAUCAUUGGGCGUAAAGCGCGUGUAGGCGGUUCGGUAAGUCGGCUGUGAAAGUCCAGGGCUCAACCCUGGGAUGCCGGUCGAUACUGCCGGACUAGAGUUCGGAAGAGGCGGGUGGAAUUCCCGGUGUAGCGGUGAAAUGCGCAGAUAUCGGGAGGAACACCAAUGGCGAAGGCAGCUCGCUGGGACGUUACUGACGCUGAGACGCGAAAGCGUGGGGAGCAAACAGG
rnacentral:rRNA from 1 species